ACCAAGGCGACGAUCAGUAGCCGGACUGAGAGGUUGACCGGCCACAUUGGGACUGAGAUACGGCCCAGACUCCUACGGGAGGCAGCAGUGGGGAAUAUUGGGCAAUGGACGCAAGUCUGACCCAGCAACGCCGCGUGAAGGAAGAAGGCUUUCGGGUUGUAAACUUCUUUUAUCAGGGACGAAAUAAAUGACGGUACCUGAUGAAUAAGCCACGGCUAACUAC
rnacentral:rRNA from 1 species